UUGAUGAAUUGUGGUCUCCCAAGAAGACGGG
rnacentral:piRNA from 1 species